rnacentral:misc_RNA from 1 species
GGAAGUAAAAGUCGUAACAGGGUUUCCGUAGGUGAACCUGCGGAAGGAUCAUUAUUGAAUGAAACACUUCUGGCUUUAUGCUGUUGUGCUGGCCCUUUGGGCAAUGUGCACACGGCUCUGGUCACUUGUUUCUUCUGUUCCACCUGUGCACUGCCUGUAGACACGCUGUGUCUAUGAUAUUUGUUAACACACAACAAUGUUAGUUGGCAUGUUAUAUAUAAUAAUAAAAUAUACAACUCUCAACAACGGAUCUCUUGGCUCUC